GAUGAACGCUGGCGGCGUGCCUAAUACAUGCAAGUCGAGCGAACAGAUGAGGAGCUUGCUCCUCUGACGUUAUCGGGGGACGGGUGCGUAACACGUGGAUAACCUAACUAUAAGACUGGGAUAACUUCGGGAAACCGGAGCUAAUACCGGAUAAUAUAUUGAACCGCGUGGUUCAAUAGUUAAAGACGGUUUUUCUUUCAGUUAUAGACUGCUCCGCCCCCCAUUAGCUAGUUGGUACGGUAACGGCUUACCAAGGCAACGAUGCGUAGACGACCUGAGGGGGUGAUCGGCCGCACGGGAGCUGGGACACGGUCCAGACUCCUACGGGAGGCAGCGGUCGGGCAUCUUCCGCAAGGAGCAGAGGCCUGACGGAGCAACGCGGCGUGAGUCAUGAAGGUCUUCGGAUCGUAAAACUCUGUUAUUAUGGAAGAACAAAUGUGUAAGUCACUAUGCACGUCUUGACGGUACCUAAGCAGAAAGCCACGCCUACCUCCGUG
rnacentral:rRNA from 1 species